rnacentral:rRNA from 1 species
UUGCACGCUGGCGGCAGGCCUAACACAUGCAAGUCGAACGGUAACAGAAAGCAGCUUGCUGCUUUGCUGACGAGUGGCGGACGGGUGAGUAAUGUCUGGGAAACUGCCUGAUGGAGGGGGAUAACUACUGGAAACGGUAGCUAAUACCGCAUAACGUCGCAAGACCAAAGAGGGGGACCUUCGGGCCUCUUGCCAUCGGAUGUGCCCAGAUGGGAUUAGCUAGUAGGUGGGGUAACGGCUCACCUAGGCGACGAUCCCUAGCUGGUCUGAGAGGAUGACCAGCCACACUGUAACUGAGACACGGUCCAGACUCCUACGGGAGGCAGCAGUGGGGAAUAUUGCACAAUGGGCGCAAGCCUGAUGCAGCCAUGCCGCGUGUAUGAAGAAGGCCUUCGGGUUGUAAAGUACUUUCAGCGGGGAGGAAGGGAGUAAAGUUAAUACCUUUGCUCAUUGACGUUACCCGCAGAAGAAGCACCGGCUAACUCCGUG